CCGCAGGCGGCCGCUCGCUGGCGCCGUUCGGCUCGAGUCUCGACGAUCGCCGGCUGACGGGGAAGGAGCGGCCGCUCCUUUCGGACGUGUGCAAAGGUCAUCGCAACCACCCGGGAGAGGCCCGGCGCCGCCGCGACCCGACUGGCCAACCCGCCUUUUGAAAAGGGGAUCCGGGAAGUCGGCGCGGCCGGAAGGCUCGGAGGCUCGACCCGCUUCGCCGUUUCCACUCGCGGUCGAGAAAAAGGGCAAAAUCUCCUUCCCGGGUCCUGGCGCAAUUGACUUUUUAUUUUCUUUUUGGCCACGCGACAGGAUGACGUCACCGAACAAAGAUGGCCGCCAACGAGAGCAAAGUAAGAGCGGCCGGCCGGAGAAAGUCGCGCUCCCUUCCCGGACGCGGCAUCCCGGCGAGCGUCACGCCACCUCGUCCCGCUCGCCGUGGCUCCCCUCACGCUUCCUGCCGCUCGGCGCCGGUCGCCGCGGCCUUUCUGAUGGAGGUGAGCCGGAUGUGGGACGUGCUGUUCAGGUAGCUGGCCCGACGGUCGGGACGUCCGCCUUCGCCGCCGCAUCGCAGCUGACUGACACACGGAAGGCACAAACGGGCGGAGCUUUCGCAUCGGCGUCAGGGCAUCGUGUCAAAUUCUGGGUGUCAUCGCACGUGACCCGCCGGCGUCCGAACCUUUGGAAGUGUCGUCGGAAGCUGUCGCUGAGCAGGUAGAGUGCCAACGGGUUGACGCAGGACGACGAGAAGCUGAGGAUGCGCGCCAGCAGCGUGAGCAGGAGCAAUGGGCAGGAACGAGCGACGGCACCUCUCCUCCUUGCAGCGCGGGUGCAUCGGUCUUUGGCUGAAGGAGCUGCCGGUGCUGUCGGGGUGGCCUGGAGAGGGUGGAGCUGUUUGCUUCGCAAGCAUCCUCCCGUUGCCCACCUCCUCCGGCGUCCGGGGAGCAGCCCGGGAUAGAGCCUGCCCCGGUGACCGGUCGGUCCGGUCUCUCUCUGUCCCGGCCUGAAGAUGCUGCCUGUGUUUUGUGGUUAUUUGGAAGAACUAAAUCCAUGCAAGACAUUCAUCAACCGAAAUAUACGUUUUGAAUCUUGUAAAUUGUCGUGCUUUCACAGUCUAUAGUCUAUAUAAGUAACUUCUGUUAGUUUAUGUGAUUUGAUAGUUUGACAUGUUUAAUAAAAGUUAUACCGUUUAGCCGUCGAGAUAACGGCUAACGUGGAGGGGUGAGCACAUGGUGGACUGUGCCGAAUGGUUUACUGGCUUGUCAUCUAAUCGCGGCACGUUCUCCGCGGUUUUCGGGGGACGUCGAACGAAAGCAUAGCUCGUCUACUUUUUAAAUUUACUUUUUACAUGCGUUUAUGCUGCUUCAGUCUGAUUUCUGUGCAAUGCGGGCUCCGUUCCGGGCUGUGAUGUGGUGUACCAAUCAAACGUAAGGCCAGAGUGUAAUUUGUGUUCGCCCUGGUUGUUUAACAAUUGAGCUAACGGCUAGCUUUAAUGCAUGAGUACGUGGCGGGGCGCACGCAAUGGUGACGUGCUAAUGGGCAUGUCAACUGUUGUUGCUUUGAUGUGUU